GACGAACCGUGCGAACGUUAUUCGGAAUCACUGGGCUUAAAGCGUGUGUAGGCGGGCCGUUAAGUAUCUUGUGAAAUCCCCCGGCUCAACCGGGGAAUGGCUGGAUAUACUGGCGGUCUUGAGCAGUCUAGGGGCAGAUGGAACAAGUGGUGGAGCGGUGAAAUGCGUAGAUAUCACUUGGAACGCCAAAGGUGAAAACAGUCUGCUGGGGACUUGCUGACGCUGAGACACGAAAGCCAGGGGAGCGAACGGG
rnacentral:rRNA from 1 species